CUUUUGUUGCGAAAAGGGCUUGGAGAAUUGAGCAAGUCCCUGUACUAGGCUGUUUUAUUAAAACAUCUCUUUUAUACACUUGCCUAUAUCAUGAUAAUACAAUAAUUUCGAUUGUAAAUAGGCAGCUAUUUUGAGAGUUAUUAAAGUGUUAUAUAUAAGUAUAGAGUUCGCCAGAUAAGCCCGUUCUCUAAGGUGGAAACACUGUAUUAAGACAGCAUACACCAAAACUCAAUGAACUAAAAGAUUUUAUUAAUUGAAGGAAAAGAAACCAACCGGGAUUGCGCUAGUAGUACAGAGCGAAAGUGCAUAAGCUUGAUUAAAUAUUUUUUGUUUACAGUUGAACUUAAGUGGAAUCCGGACCAGAGAAAGUUAUAGUCUUGUAGAUUGUAAAUAAAAAAGUGCUGUAAUUGUUUAUAAGCACGCAACCAUUUAUUUUUUGAAUCCAGUAAAGUAAUAAAUGGGGAAGAUCAAUCAAAUUAGUGGUUUAACCCUGCUAGUGAUUAACGGAAACCACUCCGUUGGCUAAAUAUUCUAUGUAGAUCGAUAGUGAAUCAGUACUGUAAAGGAAUUUGGAAACAAGAAUGCCGUUGCUUCUCUGAAUACAAGUCCCAAAACAGGUUGCUUAUAAUGACUUUCAGUUUGGCAGUUAUAAUGUUGAAUAGAAAGGUUCCUUUUGAAUCAUGAGCUGAUGACUUUGUGUUAGUUUAAGGCAUGCAUUCAUUUUGUAAUAUCAUUGGUCUUUUUUUUUUUCAAAUAAAAAGCAGGUAUAAUUAAUGCGAGUAGCUUAAUUUAUUAAAAGUAAGCUUAUUAUGAAAGUAUUCAUAAAAAACUAACACAAAACGCGAAACGAAGUGAGCUUAAGUAGGCCAGGGGGAAGGUUACCGGAAGGUAGUUGGACGCCCGAAGUGGUAUGCGUUGCAACGCAUUCAUAUGAGUUUAUUUAAGUGGCGAAAUACCAAUCGAACUUCGAAAUAUCUCGUUUUUUGCGAAACCUUUUUAGGAAGGGGGCCUGCAAAAUAAAUGCUAACUAGGUAGAGCGCUGUAAAACUGAUGGGAAGGAAACUUUUACUGAGGUGUUGCAAACCACGAAUUAGGGGCAUUUUAUCAGGUACUCAGUCAGUGCGGGACAAGCUGCAUUUGACAAGAAGGAAACAGCCUAGACUAUGAAUUAAGGCCCGAAAAUAGCGCUAAGUGAGAAAGUAAUUAACUUCACAAAAAUUAGUAGGACGUUUGAUUAGUAGCAUCUACCGUUUCAAGAAAGCGUAAUAGCUCACUACUAUAGUUUAGUUGUUGCGAAAAUUUAGCCGGACUAAGCGCUAUGCCGAAAUUAUAGCUAACUGGAUCUUAAUAAAAGUCAGUUAGAGUAGCAAAACGAACCAUGUUGACAAAGUUACGUCGGUAAGACUUAAUGAAAAUAUUGGUUGUGAAUAUAUCAGCUAGAGUAACAUAUAAAUUGAGACUUUAAAUAAAUAAUUGUUUUAUAUUAAUCUUGUUUUAUUGUAUUUGUAUAAAGUUUAUUUAUUAAAAAAAUAGUAUCUCAAUGAUCGGAAAUCCUGGGUUUUCUACACAACUGUUAAAGAUGUAGUUAAAAAUACGGUCCCUAAGUAAUGUAAAGGUUACGAUGGGUACCUGCUAUGCCCAAUAAAAUCUAAUUUGUAGAUCUGUUGCAGGAAAAAAUAGCAGGAAUUUACACAAAAAUCGAUUUUUUUUGUACAAAAUAAUACCGUACUAAAACUGACUCUGGUGGAUUAGUAGAUUUUACUAAGAUUUGGUUAUAAUCGUUCGUAAGGAACUCGGCAAAUUGCGCUGGUACUUUCGAAAACAGCGGUCUAAAAGCAAUCUUUUAGAUCUCAGAUAAGAGAACUGGGUGACAGUUUACUAAAAACUUAGCGUCCUGCCAAUUUGAAACAAGACGUAUAGGAUGUGACGUUUGCUAACGGCCACUAAUUUAAGUAAUCUGUUGUAAAAGGUAGAUAAACAAGAUGUGGUGACGAGCGGCCGUAACUAUAACGGUCAUAAAGUAGCGAAAUUCCUAGGCAUUUAAUUGGUGUCCUGCAUGAAUAACGUAACAACCUGGUUGCUGUCUCGCGAGCGAAAACCGUGAAAUAAGAAUAUCGGUUAAAAUACCGAUUAGGCUGUCUUAGACGAUAAGACCCUGUGAAGCUUUACUGUAACCUAACAUUGCGAUCGGUUUUUUACCUUACAGCUAGGCGGGAGGCAAUGCCAACAAUGGAAAACCGCUAGAUAAUAAAUUGGUCGCUUUUAUAUAAGAGUACUUUUUAAUCUAUAAGAUAUUUAUAUAAGACACGUAAUAUAAGAAAUUUUAUGUGAAUAGAAUAAGCUUUAUGUUAACCCUUGUAUAAAACACUUUAAUUAACAAAGCUCGAAGACAGUGUUAGGUGGGCAGUUUACUUGGGGCGAGGUCUGGCUAAAAAGUAACGCCAGAGAGCAAAAGGUAUGCUCAGUAUUGUCGGAAACGAUAUGUAGAGCGUAAUAGUAUAAGCAUGCCUGAUUAUAAGACUGACAAGUCAAAUAAGGACGAAAGUCUGCUAUAGUGACCCUCACAUGCUAGGUGGAAAGGUGUGAGAUCAACGAAUCAAAGUUACUCCAGGGAUAACAGGGUAGUCCUGGCUUAUAGUUCUUAUAGACGCCAGGGUUCGCCACCUCGAUGUUGCCUCAGGUCAUCCUAGAGCUGCACAAGGUUCUAAGGGCGCAACUGUUCUUUGCAUAAUGACCUACGUGAGGUGAGUUUAAACCGCCGUAAGGCAGGUUUGGUUCUAUCUAGACAGCCAUAAUAUUUAACCAAGCACUAGAAUUCCACUGUACGAAAGGACCCGGAAUUCCGCGCCAAUGGUUUAGCAAUUGUUUUGAAAAAAGCAUGGUUGCAACGCUAAGCGUGAAAUGUUAAUUGCUGAAAAACUAUCAAGCAAGAAACAAUUGUAAAGGUUAUAGUACAUCGCAUUUGCGUAAAUAGGCAGGGGGUGUAAGUGUUGUAAGACAUUAAGCUACCCUGUACUAAUUUUUU
rnacentral:rRNA from 1 species